rnacentral:rRNA from 1 species
UACGGGGGGAGCAAGCGUUGUUCGGAUUUACUGGGCGUAAAGGGCGCGUAGGCGGCCUAGCAAGUCACUUGUGAAAUCUCCGGGCUUAACUCGGAACUGCCAAGUGAAACUGCUGGGCUAGAGUGCAGAAGGGGCAAUCGGAAUUCUUGGUGUAGCGGUGAAAUGCGUAGAUAUCAAGAGGAACACCUGAGGUGAAGACGGGUUGCUGGGCUGACACUGACGCUGAGGCGCGAAAGCCAGGGGAGCAAACGGG